AUCAAAAUGAUGAUGGAAAAGAGUAGGCAGACGAGGGGUUACAGAGAGUCGGGAAAGGUGGAAGCCCGAUACUAUCCAAACUGCUGAAAUGGGUUCCGGAGUUCCAUAACGAAGUUUGAUACUUCCAAAUGGCGGCUUUCUCCGUUAAAAGAAAAGGACAGGCCUUAACUGUCUUUAAAAGUGGACCUUUUGUCAAUUAGGGUGGCACCGCGGAUAACCUCCGUCCCUUGU
rnacentral:ncRNA from 1 species